CUACGUGCCAGCAGCCGCGGUAAUACGUAGGUCCCGAGCGUUGUCCGGAUUUAUUGGGCGUAAAGCGAGCGCAGGCGGUUAGAUAAGUCUGAAGUUAAAGGCUGUGGCUUAACCAUAGUACGCUUUGGAAACUGUUUAACUUGAGUGCAAGAGGGGAGAGUGGAAUUCCAUGUGUAGCGGUGAAAUGCGUAGAUAUAUGGAGGAACACCGGUGGCGAAAGCGGCUCUCUGGUCUGUAACUGACGCUGAGGCUCGAAAGCGUGGGGAGCGAACAGGAUUAGAUACCCUGGUAGUCCACGCCGUAAACGAUGAGUGCUAGGUGUUGGAUCCUUUCCGGGAUUCAGUGCCGCAGCUAACGCAUUAAGCAUUCCGCCUGGGGAGUACGACCGCAAGGUUGAAACUCAAAGGAAUUGACGGGGGCCCGCACAAGCGGUGGAGCAUGUGGUUUAAUUCGAAGCAACGCGAAGAACCUUACCAGGUCUUGACAUCCCGAUGCUAUUUCUAGAGAUAGAAAGU
rnacentral:rRNA from 1 species